UCUGCAAAGCCAAAGAUGUCUUCCCAAUGCUUGUUGUGGGCAUCAAAGAGCACAAAGCUAUUGGAGAGUACCACUUUGACGCUCUUACCAUUUGUCCGAUAUCACCCAUACCUAAAACUUGCGUCAGUAAACCUCGUGCAGCCGGUCAUUCCAUUCUAGAUGGGCUGUUUUUUAGGCACCGCUCUGUCUAUGGCCUUUCAAAGGAGUGGCUCCAUGAAGAUUAGCUGGUGCAAAUAUGUAGUAAUCCUACAAGCCCGGAUCCUCUGCGAUGCAUGCUCUUCACAGAUAUUGCAUGGUUAGAUGGACGAUAUGUCGCUCAUCUCAGAAGAUAUGAAAUAAAGCGAUUGGAGACGCAUAAGCUGAUGGGAUUUGCGCGUCCAGUGAAGGGUGGAAAUAUCUGGCUUUGGUUCACAUGAUACCGUGGCCUUGGUUGCACCUACGCGUGCAGCAAAGCUGGAGACACAUGGGACUCAAAAGAGAUAUUUGUGUUCCUAAACAUACAUCAGAAGGAGAACAUUUGAUAGAAUCUCUAUUUUUGCUUUUCUUGUAGAUUCAUGGUUUUUUUUUUUCCCGAGUGUUAUUUUAGUGCUUGGACUUAAAAGAGAUAUUUGUGUUCCUAAACAUACAUCAAAAGGAGAACAUUUGAUAGAAUCUCUAUCUUUGCUUUUCUUGUAGAUUUAUGGUUUUUUUUUCGAGUGUUAUUUUAGUGCUUGGUUCCUUCUAUUUAUUUU
rnacentral:lncRNA from 1 species